rnacentral:misc_RNA from 1 species
AAGCUUUUUCUUUAGUAAAAAGAUGACCAAAUGCCAUUAACAAUAGUUGGCCCACGCCAAUAGCAUACACCAUUCUGGGGAUGUAACUUCUUCCAACUCCUUGAAGCAACAAAGGCAGACUUGAUAUGUUACUUUCAGAUCCCCAGUGCACUGAUAUGAGUAUAUAACUUGAAAUAGUUCCCAUGAUAACAUAUUUCCAAAUUCCCUGACAAUAGGUACCAGAAAUGGUUCUGUACAGUAAACAUGCUAAUAAGAUUAGAGCUAGAAUUGGCCCAAUUUCAGACAUGUAAGUCCACAUUGGAUGGUCUGGGGCAAUCCCAAGCAUCCAUGAGGGAGAUACAUUCAAAAAUAAGGAAGUGGCAGCCUGCUUUGACAACCCUACUUCAAUGGUGAAUCGGAGAACAGAGACUAACAGAAGAAAUAAAACUGCUUCAAAUAGCAUCCUCUUUUUCACAAUUGAACAUCGU